UUCUUAAAAUGUUUGUGUUGCUCACUGAUGCUCUGUGAAUAAAUAAAAUAAAUAUCUUCAGAAAACGCUUAAUUUUAAAUUGUAUAAUAAAUACAAAUACUUAUUUUAGCCUAAAUGUGAUUUUCUUCAAAUUUCACAAGGUGAAUUUGAGUGUAACCAGUCACUAAAAUAAAACUGUGAUCCCCAGACAGUGUGAGUAAUUCCAAGUCACGAUGAAUAUUAAGAUAUAG